rnacentral:pre_miRNA from 1 species
AAUAAACCAAUUUUUCACUUUUUACCUAUAAUUUUUGACUCUUCGUUUUAUUUAAAUUUUUUUGCGAUUGAUAUUUUUAUUUUUAUUAGACGAUAAAUCAUAAAUAGUACGUAAUACGUGUGAUUAAUUUUUUUCUAAUUUUAUAAAAUUUUUUCAAAUAAGACGGAUGGUCAAAUAUUGAACACGAAAACCGAAG